GAAUGGAUACAUUUGGAUUGCAUGAUAAUUUUAUCAUGUUGGAUAGUGGAUACGCCAUCGUCAUGGUUAAAUUAAUAAAAUAGAGUGAUGUGUGCAUGUAAAUAUCUUUCAUUAAUUAUUAAUAUCUAUGUUGCGCUCAAACGCCUCAAGCCAGUCAAACACUCAAGUUCAUGGUAAAAACUAACUAAAACGUCUAAACCCCCUAGAUAUUCGACCACGACUUCACAUCUUCUGUAUCUUCUCUACAUCGUGCUUCUACUUACAUUGAACAAGAACAAAAAGUUUAUCAGAUAAACUUAUUUCUAAGUUUCUAANAAUCUAGAAAAUCUUAUUUUGGAAGAAGAAACAGUUAAUGAAGUGUAGAAGACGAUAGAAAUUGAUUCUGUAGAUUCAAUAAAUGAUAAAGAUGAUACAGAAAUUACUACUCUGCCAGCAAAUGAAAAUACGGAUCAUCUUUAUUGUCAAAAAACAUAAACUACUGGGACUUUUCUGAGGAAGAAUUAAAGAUACUUAGAACAUGGAAAAUGGUUUGGAGAAAUCAGCAACAAAUACUCAAAAAUAAAAAUCAUUUAAUAAGAUUCUUACAUCAAAAUAAUUGUAGCCUAAUCUAAACUAAAUAAUCUUAAUUCUCAGAUUCAGUGGUUCUCAGUGCUCUAACUCUAAGGAGGGUUGAGGAUAACUGUGAAGCACANAACCUAAUUUGGGCAGUGAUUGUGUUUUGGUCAAAAGACAGGCAGCGAGCAUUCACACAAAAACAUGUACAUAGUGCAAAGUGCAAUCUAAAUAUAAUAUGUCAUAUACUUAAUGAUUCAUAUAAUAAUUAUCAGUCAGUAGUUGGUACUAUGUAAAGAAAUGCACAAUAACUUAUUUUUAUUUUUUUUGGUGAUUGUGAAUGCUCAUUAUAUUUUUUAAUACUUAUUAUCUUAACCAACUUUUUAGUACACCAUUUGAUUCAAUCCAAGUGUAUUAUAUUGGUUAUUGUUUAUGUUGUUAUUAUUUUCAAUUUCAUAAAAUAAUAUUCAGUGUUUAAAAUGUAAAAUUUUCAAUAAUUUUCUACACCAUAAAAUAUUAAAUGUUAUCACAGAAUAUUAAAUUCCCCAAGAAUAGGUUAGGUGCUUAAAGAAAAUCCAACCUAAUGUAAAAAAAAACUAGCUAAAAAACAUCAAGUUGAACCAUCUCACUGUAGUUAAUUUUUUUAAAUUAAACUAAAAUUUAUUGUUAUUAACAGAUAAAGUUAUAAGUUUUUUCAUAAUAUGCAGGUNUAUUUAAAUAAUUUACUUAUGCUAUAAAUUAAAAUUAACUAUUGAAUUCUAACAUACGUGGGCUUUAAAAAAUUGAUUGCUAUUCANGGGGGUAUUAACAUAAUUUGAGAAACACUGCUCUAAUUGAUGAUUUACUAAAGGAAAGGAUUGUAAAUCAUUCCUGAACUGACGAAUAGAAAUAUAAUAUUUUGAGGAAUCUAAGGAGAUACUGAGUUCAUUACAAUCAUUAAAAUUUUACCCAAGAUUAAAGUAUCUACUAUCUAGUGAAUUAUAAAUACAAGCACUAGUGUAUAAAUUAUNACAAAAACUAUAUACAAAUAAUAAUGUACUUAUCAGUUUUCGUAAGUCACAACUACCUGUAAAAUUUUCAUACACAAACAAUUUAUUGUAAUAAUGUCAAACACCUCAUGCCGAGUGCAAAAAGAAAAAUUUUAAUUUAGUAGUUUAAUUAAAAGUAAAAGUAAUGGAUCAAUCAUUGGCUACUAAAUUGUGUAUUCAUACCUCACUAUCGAUUCAUUGAUUCAUUAUGUAAAGUAAA
rnacentral:lncRNA from 1 species